CUACGUGCCAGCAGCCGCGGUAAUACGGAAGGUCCGGGCGUUAUCCGGAUUUAUUGGGUUUAAAGGGAGCGUAGGCUGGAGAUUAAGUGUGUUGUGAAAUGUAGACGCUCAAYGUCUGACUUGCAGCGCAUACUGGUUUCCUUGAGUACGCACAACGUUGGCGGAAUUCGUCGUGUAGCGGUGAAAUGCUUAGAUAUGACGAAGAACUCCGAUUGCGAAGGCAGCUGACGGGAGCGCAACUGACGCUGAAGCUCGAAGGUGCGGGUAUCGAACAGGAUUAGAUACCCUGGUAGUCCGCACAGUAAACGAUGGAUGCCCGCUGUUGGUACCUGGUAUCAGCGGCUAAGCGAAAGCAUUAAGCAUCCCACCUGGGGAGUACGCCGGCAACGGUGAAACUCAAAGGAAUUGACGGGGGCCCGCACAAGCGGAGGAACAUGUGGUUUAAUUCGAUGAUACGCGAGGAACCUUACCCGGGCUUGAA
rnacentral:rRNA from 1 species